GGAGAAGUACCCAAGUGGCUGAAGGGGCUCCCCUGCUAAGGGAGUAGGUCGUUUGCGCGGCGCGAGGGUUCAAAUCCCUCCUUCUCCGCCA
rnacentral:tRNA from 1 species